UACGAAGGGGGCUAGCGUUGCUCGGAAUCACUGGGCGUAAAGCGCACGUAGGCGGAUCCUUAAGUCGGGGGUGAAAUCCUGGAGCUCAACUCCAGAACUGCCUUCGAUACUGAGGAUCUCGAGUCCGGGAGAGGUGAGUGGAACUGCGAGUGUAGAGGUGAAAUUCGUAGAUAUUCGCAAGAACACCAGUGGCGAAGGCGGCUCACUGGCCCGGUACUGACGCUGAGGUGCGGAAGCGUGGGGAGCAAACAGG
rnacentral:rRNA from 1 species